GUGGGGAAUUUUGCACAAUGGGGGCAACCCUGAUGCAGCGACGCCGCGUGAUUUAGAAGGCCUUCGGGUUGUAAAAAUCUUUUGUAUAGGAAGAAAAUGACAGUACUAUACGAAUAAGGUCCGGCUAAUUACGUGCCAGCAGCCGCGGUAAUACGUAAGGACCGAGCGUUGUCCGGAAUCAUUGGGCGUAAAGGGUACGUAGGCGGUUAGAAAAGUUAGAAGUGAAAGGCUAUAGCUCAACUAUAGUAAGCUUUUAAAACUGUUUAACUUGAGAGAUGGAAGGGAAAGUGGAAUUCCUAGUGUAGCGGUGAAAUGCGCAGAUAUUAGGAGGAAUACCGGUGGCGAAGGCGACUUUCUGGCCAUUAUCUGACGCUGAGGUACGAAAGCGUGGGUAGCAAACAGGAUUAGAAACCCCAGUAGUCC
rnacentral:rRNA from 1 species